UGCGCAGGCGGACUUUUAAGUCAGUGGUGAAAUCCCGGGGCUCAACCCCGGAACUGCCAUUGAUACUGGAAGUCUUGAAUUUGGUUGAAGUGGGCGGAAUGUAGCAUGUAGCGGUGAAAUGCUUAGAUAUGCUACAGAACACCGAUCGCGAAGGCAGCUCACUAAGCCAAUAUUGACGCUCAGGCACGAAAGCGUGGGGAGCGAACAGGAUUAGAUACCCUGGUAGUC
rnacentral:rRNA from 1 species